rnacentral:rRNA from 1 species
GACGAACGCUGGCGGCGUGCUUAACACAUGCAAGUCGAACGAAGUGGCGAACGGGUGAGUAACGCGUAAUCAACCUGCCCUUCAGAGGGGGACAACAGUUGGAAACGACUGCUAAUACCGCAUACUGAAGGAGGGGUUUGCGUCUGAUUAGCUAGUUGGAGGGGUAACGGCCCACCAAGGCGAUGAUCAGUAGCCGGUCUGGGGGGGGGAACGGCCACAUUGGGACUGGGAAACGGCCCAGAAUCCUACGGGAGGGAGCAGUGGGGAAACUUACGCAAUGGAGGAAAGUCUGACGGAGCAAAGCCGCGUGAGGGAUGAAGGGCUUCGGGUUGUAAAGAUCUGUUAAUCGGGACGCGGUACCGGAAUAGAAAGCCACGGCUAACUACGUGCCAGCCGCCGCGGUAAUAC